rnacentral:lncRNA from 1 species
AAAGUAGUAGCCUUCUUAAGCUUCUAGGAAGAAUUAGGCCUAGAUCACUACUUUAGCAUCUUUGUGAGAAGAAGCAUGAAUAAAAUUCGAGGAUUGUCCGAGUGCUUUUAGUGUGUACCUUAGCUUGCUUGUCUUUUAUGUUGUCUUUGCAACUUUAGAUCAUGAGGAUUGUCUUGAAUUUUAAAUCUUAGUUGUCGAGUUUAGUAAUUGAUUUGUUU